rnacentral:rRNA from 1 species
CAGUCGCCGCGGUAAGACGAACCGUGCGAACGUUAUUCGGGAUCACUGGGCUUAAAGCGCGUGUAGGCGGGCCGCCGCGUCGGCUGCUGAAAUCCCCCGGCUCAACCGGGGAACGGGCACCGAUACGGGCGGCCUCGAGGGGGGUAGGGGGGCCUGGAACUUCCGGUGGAGCGGUGAAGUGCGUUGAGAUCGGAAGGAACGCCCGUGGCGAAAGCGAGGCCCUGGACCCUUUCUGACGCUGAGACGCGAAAGCCAGGGGAGCGAACGGGAUUAGAUACCCCUGUAGUCCCUGUCUCUUAUA